UCCUGGUGGCUCACAGGUUAAAGCGUCUGCCUCCAAUGCAGGAGACCCAGGUUCGAUCCCUGGGUCGGGAA
rnacentral:tRNA from 1 species